CACGUAGGCACCAAGCGUUGUCCGGAUUUAUUGGGCGUAAAGAGCUCGUAGGCGGUUGAGUAAGUCGGGUGUGAAAACUCUGGGCUUAACCCAGAGCCGCCACUCGAUACUGCUCUGACUUGAGUACGGUAGGGGAGAAGGGAAUUCCUAGUGUAGCGGUGAAAUGCGCAGAUAUUAGGAGGAACACCGGUGGCGAAGGCGCUGCUCUGGGCCGAAACUGACGCUGAGGAGCGAAAGCGUGGGUAGCAAACAGG
rnacentral:rRNA from 1 species